rnacentral:rRNA from 1 species
UACGAAGGGGGCGAGCGUUGUUCGGAUUUACUGGGCGUAAAGGGCGCGCAGGCGGCUCAUUUUGUCAGGCGUGAAAGCCCCGGGCUUAACCUGGGAACUGCGUUUGAUACGGAUGGGCUAGAGUUCGGGAGAGGAGAGUGGAAUUCCCAGUGUAGAGGUGAAAUUCGUAGAUACUGGGAAGAACACCGGUGGCGAAGGCGGCUCUCUGGACCGAUACUGACGCUGAGGCGCGAAAGCGUGGGGAUCAAACAGG